rnacentral:rRNA from 1 species
UACGGGGGGGGGCAAGCGUUGUUCGGAAUUAUUGGGCGUAAAGAGCUCGUAGGCGGUCUGUCGCGUCUGCUGUGAAAACUCAGGGCUUAACCCUGAGCUUGCAGUGGGUACGGGCAGACUAGAGUGCGGUAGGGGAGACUGGAAUUCCUGGUGUAGCGGUGAAAUGCGCAGAUAUCAGGAGGAACACCAAUUGCGAAGGCAGCUCGCUGGGACGUAACUGACGC